UAACCCGUGUUCUGCUGUAACUAACACGUCAGGUCUCCCGCCGGGGGAGUACGUUCGCUACAUGCCAACUCCCAGGAAUUGACGGAGGGCGCGCGCGUUGUUCGGAAUUACUGGGCGUAAAGAGUGUGUAAGCGGUGCUCUAAGUCUGGUGUGAAAUCUCCCGGCUCAACCGGAUGGGUGCGCCGAAAACUGGAAGGCUAGAGUAUGGGAGAGGAAAGCGGAAUUCCUGGUGUAGCAGUGAAAUGCAUAUAUAUCUGGAGGAACACCUGUGGUGUAGACGGCUUUCUGGACCAUUACUGACGCUGAGACACUAAAGCGUGGGUAGCAAACAGGAUUAAAUACCCUGGUAGUCCACGCCCUAAAAUAUGC
rnacentral:rRNA from 1 species